rnacentral:rRNA from 1 species
UGGGGAAUCUUCCGCAAUGGGCGAAAGCCUGACGGAGCAACGCCGCGUGAGUGAAGACGGCCUUCGGGUUGUAAAACUCUGUGAUUCGGGACGAAAGAUAAGUAGACGAAUAAUCUGCAUAAGUGACGGUACCGAAAAAGCAAGCCACGGCUAACUACGUGCCAGCAGCCGCGGUAAUACGUAGGGCGCGAGCGUUGUCCGGAAUUAUUGGGCGUAAAGAGCUCGUAGGCGGUUUGUCGCGUCUGCUGUGAAAGACCGGGGCUUAACUCCGGGGCUGCAGUGGGUACGGGCAGGCUGGAGUGCGGUAGGGGUAACCGGAAUUCCUGGUGUAGCGGUGGAAUGCGCAGAUAUCAGGAGGAACACCGAUGGCGAAGGCAGGUUACUGGGCCGUUACUGACGCUGAGGAGCGAAAGCAUGGGGAGCGAACAGG